rnacentral:rRNA from 1 species
AACGUAGGACGCAAGCGUUAUCCGGAGUUACUGGGCGUAAAGCGCGGGCAGGCGGCUCGAAACGUCUGAUGUGAAAUCUCCUCGCUCAACGGGGAGAGGCCAUUGGAAACGGUCGAGCUGGAGGGCAGUAGAGGUAGGCGGAAUUCCGGGUGGAGUGGUGAAAUGCGUAGAGAUCCGGAGGAACACCAGAGGCGAAGGCGGCCUACUGGGCCGAGGGCCGACGCUGAGGCGCGAGAGCGUGGGGAGCGAACCGG